UGGAGCAGCUGCUGCCAAGUCUGGAUCCCACUGCUGUGCGCCCCUGAUGCCCGCCUGACGUGCAUUCCUGGUUCCUUUUGGUUCCAAGUCCAACAUGGCAACUCUCAAGGAUCAGCUGGUUCAUAAUCCUCUAAAGGAAGAACAGACCCCCCAGAAUAAGAUUACAGUUGUUGGGGUUGGUGCUGUUGGCAUGGCCUGUGCCAUCAGUAUCUUAAUGAAGGACUUGGCAGAUGAACUUGCUCUUGUUGAUGUCAAUGAAGACAAACUGAAGGGAGAGAUGAUGGAUCUCCAACAUGGCAGCCUUUUCCUUAGAACACCAAAGAUUGUCUCUGGCAAAGACUACGAUGUAACUGCAAACUCCAAGCUGGUCAAUAUUAUGGCUGGGGCAUGUCAGCAAGAGGGAGAAAGCCGUCUUAAUUUGGUCCAGCGUAACGUGAACAUCUUUAAAUUCAUCAUUCCUAAUGUUGUAAAAUACAGCCUGAACUGCAAAUUGCUUAUUGCUUCAAAUCCAGUGGAUAUCUUGACCUAUGUGGCUUGGAAGAUAAGUGGCUUUCCCAAAAACCGUGUUAUUGGAAGUGGUUGCAAUCUAGAUUUAGCCCUAUUCUGUUACCUGAUGGGGGAAAGGCUGGGAGUUCACCCAUUAAGCUGUCGUGGGUGGGUCCUUGGGGAACAUGGAGAUUCCAGUGUGCCUGUAUGGAGUGGAGUGAAUGUUGCUGGUGUCUCCCUGAAGACUCUGCACCCAGAUUUAGGAACUGAUACAGACAAGGAACAGUGGAAAGAGGUUCACAAGCAGAUGGUUGAGAGUGCUUACGAGGUGAUCAAACUCAAAGGCUACACAUCCUGGGCCAUUGGACUCUCUGUGGCAGAUUUGGCAGAGACUAUAAUGAAGAAUCUUAGGCGGGUGCACCCAAUUUCCACCAUGAUUAAGGGUCUCUAUGGAAUAAAGGAUGACGUCCAUCUUCCUUAGUGUUCCUUGCAUUUUGGGACAGAAUGGAAUCUCAGACGUUGUGAAGGUGACUCUGACUCCUGAGGAAGAGGCCCCUUUGAAGAAGAGUAUGGAUACACUUUGGGCGAUCCAAAAAGAGCUGCAAUUUUAAAGUCUUCUGAUGUUAUACUAUUUCACUGUCUAGGCUACAACAGGAUUUUUGCUGGAGGUUGUGCAUGUUGUCCUCUUUAUCUGAUCGGCGAUUAAAGCAGUCAUAUUUUAAGACGGACUAGGACAAACAUCAAUUCCUCAACUUAGAAAUAGGAACGGUUUGUAAAAUCCUACAGCUAUAUCCUGAUGCUGGAUGGUGGUAACCUUGUGUAGUCCUAGACUGGUUAGUGUGAAAUAGUUCUGUCACCUCUGAGGCACCACUGCCAAUGCUGCACAUGCUGCAGUUGCCCCUUGAGCCAGAGAGAUGUUCCUUUGUUAUAUAACUUCCUGGCUCCUUCACUGAACAUGCCUAGU